AAACCAUGUUGUGCGCACGAACUGACAAGACCCUUGAACCGCUCCCAACAUUAGAAGAAUGUUUCAUCCUUCUUUUAGGCGAAGUUCAUUAUUGAUUUUCUAAGGGU